AUUGAACGCUGGCGGCAGGCCUAACACAUGCAAGUCGAACGAGUGGCGGACGGGUGAGUAAUGUCUGGGACACUGCCCGAUGGAGGGGGAUAACUACUGGAAACGGUAGCUAAUACCGCAUACCAUCGGAUGUGCCGCGAUGGGAUGAGCUAGGAGGAGGGGUAAUGGCUAACCUGGGCCACGAUCCCUAGCUGGUCUGAGAGGAUGACCAGCCACACUGGAACUGAGACACGGUCAAGACUCCUACGGGAGGCAGCAGUGGGGAAUAUUGCACAAUGGGCGCAAGCCUGAUGCAGCCAUGCCGCGUGGAUGAAGAAGGCCUUCGGGUUGUAAAGUACUUGCAGCGAGGAGGCGUUACUCGCAGAAGAAGCACCGGCUAACUCCGUGCCAGCAGCCGCGGUAAUUC
rnacentral:rRNA from 1 species